rnacentral:rRNA from 1 species
UACCCUUAUUUGCCAGCGCGAUUCGGCGGGAACUAUAAGGGGACUGCCGGUGAUAAACCGGAGGAAGGUGAGGACGACGUCAAGUCAUCAUGGCCCUUACGCAUAGGGCUACACACGUGCUACAAUGGAGAAUACAGACGGACGCUAAGCCGCGAGGUGGUGCCAAUCCUAGAAAAUUCUUCGUAGUCCGGAUUGGUGUCUGCAACUCGACUCCAUGAAGUCGGAAUCGCUAGUAAUCGCGAAUCAGCAUGUCGCGGUGAAUACGUUC